GGCAUGGUGGUGCAGUGGUUAGCACUGGUUAGCACACAUUUUUACAGCAAGAAGGUCGCAGGUUCGAACCCGGCCUGGGGCC